AGAGUUUGAUCAUGGCUCAGGAUGAACGCUGGCGGCAUGCCUAAUACAUGCAAGUCGAACGAGAGGAAGGAAAGCUUGCUUUUCUGAAUCUAGUGGCGAACGGGUGAGUAACACGUAGGUAACCUGCCCAUGUGCCCGGGAUAACUUCUGGAAACGGAUGCUAAAACCGGAUAGGUAGCAGACAAGCAUUUGACUGCUAUUAAAGUGGCCUUGGCCAUGAACAUGGAUUGACCUGCGGUG
rnacentral:rRNA from 1 species